rnacentral:tRNA from 1 species
GUCUGGCUGGCUCAGUCUUUAGAGCAUGUGAUUCUUGAUCUCAGGGUCAUGAGUUUGAGCCCCAUGUUGGGUG